rnacentral:rRNA from 1 species
CUCUAAGAUGAGGUCGUAAGACGUAAUCGAUGCACAGCCGGUCAACAUUCCGGCACCGACGUGGUUUAAACCGUUGAUGACGCAAGGAGAAAAAUGGCGGAAUCAUUGAAAGAUUCGGCUUAGGAGCAAUCCGAAGCAUGCCAUCGGACAACUUGUCGAGAAAGGUCAGCGGCCCUUUGCCACGUUGCCCGUACCGCAAACCGACACAGGUGGGUGGGUGUAAGUGCACCAAGGCGCGCGAGAGAGACCUCUCUAAGGAACUCGGCACAUUAGCCCCGUAACUUCGGGAAAAGGGGUGCUCGCUUCGGCGAGCCACAGUAAAUUGCGUUUAGCGACUGUUUAACAAAAACACAGCACUCUGCCACGUCGUUAAGACAACGUAUAGGGUGUGACAAGUGACCAAUGCGGAAAGAUCAAGGCAAGGGGUUAGCCGCAAGGCGAAGCUCUGAACCUAAGUCCCCGUGAAUGUCGGCCGUAACUAUAACGGUCCUAAGGUAGCGAAAUUCCUUGUCGUUAAGUUCCGACCUGCACGAAUCUUGUAACGACUGAACGACUGUCUCGGAGAGGUUCUCGGCGAAACUGUAACGGCGGUGAAGAUGCCGCCUGCCCGCAGUAGGACGGAAAGACCCUAUGCACCUUUACUGUAAGCUCGUAUUGGCUUCUGGUUGAUGAUGCUUAGCGUAGGUGGGAGACUUUGAAGGCAUGGCUUCGGUUGUGCUGGAGUCGAAAUGUGAAACACCACUCUUUGUCAACUAGGAGUCUAACCUCGAUCCCGUUAGCCGGGCGAGGGACAGUGCGUGCGGGUCAGUUUGGCUGGGGCGGCUUCCUCCCAAAUGGUAACGGAGGAGCGCGAAGCUGGGCUCAGCAUGGUUGGCAACCAUGCGUCGAGCGUAUGGGUAGAAGCCCGGUUAACUGCGAGACCAACAAGUCAAGCAGAUGCGAAAGCAGGCCCAAAUGAUCCGAUGGUUGAAUGUGGAAUUGCCAUCGCUCAACGGACAAAAGGUACGCUAGGGAUAACAGGCUGAUCGGGACCAAGAGUUCACAUCGACGUCCCGGUUUGGCACCUCGAUGUCGGCUCAUCGCAUCCUGGGGCUGGGGAAGGUCCCAAGGGUCCGGCUGUUCGCCGGUUAAAGCGGUACGCGAGCUGGGAUCAGAACGUCGUGAGACAGUUCGGUCCUUAUCCACUGUGGGCGGAGGAAACUUGAGGGGUUCAUUCCUUAGUACGAGAGGACCGGGAAUGACGCACUUCUGGUGUGGCAGUUGUCGUGUCAACGGCAGCGCUGCGUAGCCACGUGCGGAAGGGAUAAGCGCCAAAAA